rnacentral:lncRNA from 1 species
GAAGAUGUGACUGCUUCCCCUUCACCUUCCACCAUGAUUGCAAUUGUCUCAAUCAAGAUUGAACUUGGUCUCAAGUGUCCUGAAUCCAGUGAUUAUCUAAUCUGUGAUACAAAGACUAACUACCUUGCCUCCAUUUUGAGAAACCCGGAAGUGCUGCUAUUUUAGUUCCAGAGCUUCUCACAGGAAGGCUUAAGAUCUAAGAAGUUGAGCCACCUCAGCCUGGUUCAGAAGCCUUGCUGGAAAGAUGAUUGCUGGAGAGGUGAUGCAAUCAUUUGGAAA